UAGCCCACUAAGACGAGGAUAACUAACUGGAACGGUAGGCUAAUACUGGAUAGUAUAUGAAGUCGCAUGGCUUUAUAUUUAAAGGUGCUCUCAAGCAUCACUUAUGGAUGGACCUGCGGCGCAUUAGCUAGUUGGUGAGGUAACAGCCCACCAAGGCGAGGAUGCGUAGCCGAACUGAGAGGUUGAUCGGCCACAUUGGAACUGAGACACGGUCCAAACUCCUACGGGAGGCAGCAGUAAGGAGUUUUCGGCAAUGGGGGAAACCCUGACCGAGCAACGCCGCGUGAGCGAUGACGGCCCUAUGGGGUUUGUAAAGCUCUGUUGUAAGCCAUGAAUGGUAGCCUGAGGAAAUGCAAGCUAUUUGACGACAGCUUACCAGAAAGCCACGGCUAACUACGUGCCAGCCGCAGC
rnacentral:rRNA from 1 species